GACGAACGCUGGCGGCGUGCCUAACACAUGCAAGUCGAACGGAAAGGCCUCUUUCGGGGGGUACUCGAGUGGCGAACGGGUGAGUAACACGUGAGUAACCUGCCCUUGACUUUGGGAUAACUUCAGGAAACUGGGGCUAAUACCGGAUAGGAGCUCCUGCUGCAUGGUGGGGGUUGGAAAGUUUCGGCGGUUGGGGAUGGACUCGCGGCUUAUCAGCUUGUUGGUGGGGUAGUGGCUUACCAAGGCUUUGACGGGUAGCCGGCCUGAGAGGGUGACCGGCCACAUUGGGACUGAGAUACGGCCCAGACUCCUACGGGAGGCAGCAGUGGGGAAUAUUGCACAAUGGGUGGAAGCCUGAUGCAGCAACGCCGUGUGCGGGAUGACGGCCUUCGGGUUGUAAACCGCUUUCGCUCAUGACGAAGCUUUGUGUGACGGUAGUGGGUAAAGAAGCACCGGCUAACUACGU
rnacentral:rRNA from 1 species